GCUUGUCUCAAAGAUUAAGCCAUGCAUGUCUCAGUAUAAGCUUCUAUACGGCGAAACUGCGAAUGGCUCAUUAAAACAAUUAUAGUUUAUUUGGUGGUCAACUCUUACAUGGAUAACAAUUUUAAUUCUAGUGCUAAUACAUGCGCCCAAACCCAACUUCUUGGAAGGGUUGCGUUUAUUCGAUACAGAACCAACCCAGGCUCCGCUUGGCCUUGAAGUGAUUCACAAUAACCGAACGAAUCGCAUAGCUGCCGCUGGGGAUAGACCAUUCAAGUUUCUGACCUAUCAGCUAUCGUCGGUAGGGUAUUGGCCUACGGCUAACGGAGAAUUAGGGUUCGAUUCCGGAGAGGGAGCCUGAGAAACGGCUACCACAUCUAAGGAAGGCAGCAGG
rnacentral:rRNA from 1 species